rnacentral:snoRNA from 1 species
UGGUCAUUACCAAGGCUUUGGGAAUGCAGUUUCUCAUUUGCUGUGGACAUGACCACAAAAAAAUUUUCCACUAGGCUUCCUUUCUUUAUGCUACUUUGGUAGCAUUAAUUCAGCUUAUUGGGAACAUUU